rnacentral:rRNA from 1 species
UACGGGGGGGGUAAGCGUUGUUCGGAAUUACUGGGCGUAAAGCGCGCGUAGGCGGCUUUGUAAGUUAGAGGUGAAAGCCCGGAGCUCAACUCCGGAACUGCCUUUAAAACUGCAUCGCUUGAAUCCAGGAGAGGUGAGUGGAAUUCCGAGUGUAGAGGUGAAAUUCGUAGAUAUUCGGAAGAACACCAGUGGCGAAGGCGGCUCACUGGACUGGUAUUGACGCUGAGGUGCGAAAGCGUGGGGAGCAAACAGG